GACGAGCGCUGGCGGCGUGCUUAACACAUGCAAGUCGAACGGUAAGGCCCUUCGGGGUACACGAGUGGCGAACGGGUGAGUAACACGUGGGUGAUCUGCCCUGCACUUCGGGAUAAGCCUGGGAAACUGGGUCUAAUACCGGAUAGGACCCUGGGAUGCAUGUCCUGGGGUGGAAAGCUUUUGCGGUGUGGGAUGGGCCCGCGGCCUAUCAGCUUGUUGGUGGGGUGAUGGCCUACCAAGGCGACGACGGGUAGCCGGCCUGAGAGGGUGACCGGCCACACUGGGACUGAGAUACGGCCCAGACUCCUACGGGAGGCAGCAGUGGGGAAUAUUGCACAAUGGGCGCAAGCCUGAUGCAGCGACGCCGCGUGAGGGAUGACGGCCUUCGGGUUGUAAACCUCUUUCAGCACCGGCGAAGCGCAAGUGACGGUAGGUGCAGAAGAAGGACCGGCCAACUACGUGCCAGCCGCCGCAGUAA
rnacentral:rRNA from 1 species